rnacentral:rRNA from 1 species
GGGCUCACCUGUUCCCAUUCCGAACACAGAAGUUAAGCCCACCAGCGCCGAUGGUACUGCGACAAGCGGGAGAGUAGGUCGCCGCCAGUU